CCACCAACCUCACAUCGAAUCCACUCCGGCCUCUCCCUUCUUGCCUCCUUCGGCCACCAUGCGUCACCGCCGACCCUCCGUAGGACCCGCCGCGCUCCUCCCCACACCGAUUUGGUCCUCUCUCACCGUCGGCGGGGCCUAAAUCGGCAGAUCUAGGAUGGGUGUUCUACAAGUGCGAAAAGGACGGGGAUGAAUGCAAGUCUUGGUAUUGGGAAGAAGAGUAUAUUGAUCUAUUGGUAGAGGAGAAAUUUGCUAGAUGUUCGUGCACUACUUGCUAGAGUUGAGACUAGAGACGACACAAUGUCCAAUUAUGUGAAGGCGGAGAAGAAUGAAGUGUGCAUGCUCAAGAAGCCGAUAGAGAAAAGCAACAAUGUUUGCAAUGAAGACAUACAGAAAGUAUUAAAUCGAACUGGUAGGAGCAGUUAGGGCACUUGGAUUUCUAUUAAAGUGUCUAAUUAUUCUUGUAGUUAUUUUUUGGAGCGGUUCUCUUAGCGAAGAAUUGGUGAAGUAUGUAACCAGAUGUCGUUUAAUAAAGUAAUAUAGUAGUAGAUUUA